rnacentral:sRNA from 12 species
GCUGUGGAGAGCAAAACAAAUAUGAGUAGAUAUUUUAUAUCAAAAAUAUGUUCGUUGAAACAGCAA